CGUACACUCCUGCGGGAGGCAGCAGUGGGGAAUAUUGGACAAUGGGCGCAAGCCUGAUCCAGCCAUGCCGCGUGAGUGAUGAAGGCCCUAGGGUUGUAAAGCUCUUUCACCGGUGAAGAUAAUGACGGUAACCGGAGAAGAAGCCCCGGCUAACUUCGUGCCAGCAGCCGCGGUAAUACGAAGGGGGCUAGCGUUGUUCGGAUUUACUGGGCGUAAAGCGCACGUAGGCGGACUAUUAAGUCAGGGGUGAAAUCCCGGGGCUCAACCCCGGAACUGCCGUUGAUACUGGUAGUCUUGAGUUCGAGAGAGGUGAGUGGAAUUCCGAGUGUAGAGGUGAAAUUCGUAGAUAUUCGGAGGAACACCAGUGGCGAAGGCGGCUCACUGGCUCGAUACUGACGCUGAGGUGCGAAAGCGUGGGGAGCAAACAGGAUUAGAAGCCCGUGUAGUCCCAUGA
rnacentral:rRNA from 1 species